GGGGGUGACAGGUUUCGACGGGAGUUCCGGAGGCGAUAGAUGCAUACCGCGGCCCACGCUCCGCGUUAUCAAGCUUGGGAAAACACAAUCGCGAAUAGCGAACUAGCUCUGGCUGCUUAAUGCGGCCACGUCUCAACCGGAGUUACCUGCGCGACGGAUUGAGGCGUAACUAAGCAGGUUGCCCGCGGCCCUCCUCGUUCCGUGGAGUGCCGUGGAAAGAUCAAUCGGGAUAGUCCGCCGAGAUGCUUGGCCGUUUCCACGGUCGCGGCGGGCGAAACAAAGAGGAAGCGGCUAAGUAUGUAGAUUCUAGCGUUCCCGGCUUUCGGACGAGAGUUCGAUUCUCUCCACCUCCACUU
rnacentral:tmRNA from 1 species